rnacentral:rRNA from 1 species
UACGUAGGGUGCAAGCGUUAAUCGGAAUUACUGGGCGUAAAGCGUGCGCAGGCGGCUUUGCAAGACAGAUGUGAAAUCCCCGGGCUCAACCUGGGAACUGCAUUUGUGACUGCAUGGCUGGAGUGCGGCAGAGGGGGAUGGAAUUCCGCGUGUAGCAGUGAAAUGCGUAGAUAUCUGGAGGAACACCGGUGGCGAAGGCGGCAUCCUGGACCAACACUGACGCUGAUGAGCGAAAGCCAGGGGAGCAAACGGG